rnacentral:misc_RNA from 1 species
GUUCAAGCUCAGCUAAAAUUAAAACUGAAUUGAAUUUGAAUAUUUUGUGGGCUGAAUCCAAGUAUCUCAACUCAUUUAUAUCCCUAAUUAAGACAAAAAUGAAGCAAAAAUAUGAAACCUUUAAAAGAAAUAGGUCUAGCCGUCUAGUUCAACCACAUUAGGUACCUAGUAUAAAAGGUGUCAAGAUUAAAAAGAAAUAAAUAAAAAACAUAAAAAGAAAAAUUGAGAGAAUAGAUGUAAGGUU